UACGGAGGGGACUAGCGUUGUUCGGAAUUACUGGGCGUAAAGCGCGCGUAGGCGGAUUUGUAAGUCGGGGGUGAAAUACCGGGGCUCAACCUCGGAACUGCCUUCGAUACUGCAAAUCUCGAGUCCGGAAGAGGUGAGUGGAAUUCCUAGUGUAGAGGUGAAAUUCGUAGAUAUUAGGAAGAACACCAGUGGCGAAGGCGGCUCACUGGUCCGGUACUGACGCUGAGGCGAGAAAGCGUGGGGAGCAAACAGG
rnacentral:rRNA from 1 species